GCUAUUCCUAAACCAUUUCCCCUCUCCUCCCCUGCCUCUUUUGCCUCCCGGACUGAGAAUCUGCUCUUUAAAGUUGAUCUGAAGGGGAAAGCAGAGACGAGCUUGUGCAUAGUUUGGAGGGGUAAAAGUUCAGGGCCAGUACAGAGUCUAUAUGGAAAAACAGAGCCUUCGCAUCAGAUUUACCGUAUGGGCUGCCUAAAGUAACUAUUUUGAAGUCAUCUUUGGAACGCUAGAGCCUGAUAUGCUCAUCCUGGUUUCUGUCACCUUCUCCAAAGGAAGGGAAGGACAAACAGGGAAGUUUUGCCCACCUGCUCCCUGCCAGGUGGGCUGAUGGAGUCUGGUGAUGGUGUGAGCUAGCCUAGUCUCUCAGAUGACUACAUGGCAUCCUGAAAAUGGAUCCCUAGAUGUGAACACUUGACAGGACUGUAAAUGUGACUGUAGAGUGAAGGCAUCCAAGUAAGUUUUCGAGCGACAGAUACAGGUUGCUGUGGCCUCUUAGCCAAGAAAAGAAGUAAGGCUGGGUUCUGUGUUUCACUGUUCUGAGUUGAAUGCCUAAGUUACUUUCUCAAUACAUAAGUGCAUUUAAAAAGUUCCAGGGUUCUUCAGAAGCUUUGUAAUUUCAAACUGUUGUGUAUAAACACAAAGGCAUUUAUUAAGUGUAUCUAUAAAAGGUAAAAACCCUAUUGAAGGAGAACCAAAGAAAUUGCAAGCCAGAAUUAAUAAAUCAUAUGAAUGUUGACCUCUGUACGUGUUA
rnacentral:lncRNA from 1 species